rnacentral:rRNA from 1 species
UGUUAGUUGCCAUCAUUAAGUUGGGCACUCUAACGAGACUGCCGGUGAUAAACCGGAGGAAGGUGGGGAUGACGUCAAAUCAUCAUGCCCCUUAUGACCUGGGCUACACACGUGCUACAAUGGAUGGUACAACGAGUCGCGAGACAGUGAUGUUUAGCUAAUCUCUUAAAACCAUUCUCAGUUCGGAUUGUAGGCUGCAACUCGCCUACAUGAAGUCGGAAUCGCUAGUAAUCGCGGAUCAG